UACGGAGGGUGCGAGCGUUGUCCGGAAUCAUUGGGCGUAAAGAGCUCGUAGGCGGUCUGUCGCGUCUGCUGUGAAAACCCGAGGCUCAACCUCGGGCCUGCAGUGGGUACGGGCAGACUAGAGUGCGGUAGGGGAGAAUGGAAUUCCUGGUGUAGCGGUGGAAUGCGCAGAUAUCAGGAGGAACACCGAUGGCGAAGGCAGGUCACUGGGCCGCAACUGACGCUGAGGAGCGAAAGCAUGGGGAGCGAACAGG
rnacentral:rRNA from 1 species